CAAAAGCAAAAGCAAAGAAAAGUUCGUAAAAGCCAACACCAUGACCAAGUUGCAAAGUAGUGUUCUUGUUGUGAUGGCUUUGUUUGUCCUCUUCAGUCAAACUUAUGGAGAAUGGAAAUUUUGCCCAAAAUCGAUGGUUUUUGAUGGACAAUGUCCAUUGGGGAGUUCAGGAAGAAGUUGUUUUGACGAAUUUCUUGCAAGACUGGGAGCAAGUGCUACGCCUAUGAAAUGUACUUGUGAUAAUCUUCCUAGUAACAAACGCAAUUGCACUUGUCAAGUUGUUUGUGGACACUGACACAUUUUUUCUUAAAACAAGUGUCGGAAAAUCUUAUGUUAAAUUCUCAAUUUUAAGAAACAUCUUUACUUUUGUUA